rnacentral:rRNA from 1 species
AGCAGCCGCGGUAAUUCCAGCUCCAAUAGCGUAUAUUAAAGUUGUUGCAGUUAAAAAGCUCGUAGUUGAAUUUCGGGAUCAAAUUGUCGGUCGUGCCUCGGUACGCACUGGUAUUAUUGGUUCCUACCUUCUGAAGAACCGCGAUGUCAUUAAUUUGGUGUCGUGGGGAAUCAGGACUGUUACUUUGAAAAAAAUUAGAGUGUUUAAAGCAGGCUUACGCUUGAAUACAUUAGCAUGGAAUAAUGAAAUAGGACGUUUGAUUCUAUUUUGUUGGUUUCUAGGAUUGACGUAAUGAUUAAUAGGGAUAGUUGGGGGCAUUAGUAUUCAAUUGUCAGAGGUGAAAUUCUUGGAUUUAUUGAAGACUAACUACUGCGAAAGCAUUUGCCAAGGAUGUUUUCAUUAAUCAAGAACGAAAGUUAGGGGAUCGAAGACGAUCAGAUACCGUCGUAGUCUUAACCAUAAACUAUGCCGACUAGGGAUCGGAUGAUGUUAAUUUUUUAAUGACUCAUUCGGCGCCUUA